rnacentral:lncRNA from 1 species
GAUCGAUUUGUAGAUCAUGAACUUCAGUAAGUUCAAUAUUCCUCCCACUGUCUCUUUCUUGGAUGAGUUCAUUUUUCAAAAAAGUAUCAUGCCUACUAACAAACACCUUUUGUUCAGUAGGUGGUAGAAGUAGUAUCCAUUAGUUUUCUUAGGAUACCCUACAAACCUAUAUUUAUUUGAUCUAUCACUAAGCUUAUAUCCAAAAAUAUUUCUGACAUAAGCAGGACAGCCC